rnacentral:piRNA from 1 species
GUGGUGUCACGGAGUUUCUUCCUUCCAGU